rnacentral:rRNA from 1 species
ACCGCACAAACCAAAUCCCGCUCCCACAAUUUCCGGAAUAGCAAGCGCGCCGCCGCCGUUCGGGUUCGAGAUGUUGCCUAGGGUUGCGCCGUCUCCGGCCACCGCCGCCGCCGCCGCAGCGGUUGGCCAGCUCUCCGGGGCGGGGCUCGCCGCCGGUUCGGUGAGGCUGCCGGGGCCCCUGCCGUCUGCGGCGGGGUCGGCGGUCUGCUGCCGGGCCGCGGCGAAGGGGAAGGAGGUGCUCAGCGGCGUGAUGUUCCAGCCGUUCGAGGAGCUCAAGGGGGAGCUCUCCCUCGUGCCGCAGGGCAAGGACCAGUCGCUCGCCAGGCACAAGUUCGUCGACGAGUGCGAGGCCGCCCUCAACGAGCAGAUCAAUGUGGAGUACAAUGCCUCGUACGCGUAUCACUCCCUCUUCGCCUACUUCGACCGCGACAACGUUGCUCUCAAGGGAUUUGCCAAGUUCUUCAAGGAAUCAAGCGACGAGGAGAGGGGACACGCCGAGAAGUUAAUGGAGUACCAGAACAAACGUGGAGGGAGGGUGAGGCUCCAGUCAAUUGUCACACCCUUAACCGAGUUCGACCAUGCUGAGAAAGGCGAUGCCCUGUAUGCAAUGGAGUUGGCUCUAGCUCUUGAAAAGCUGGUGAAUGAGAAACUGCACAACCUGCACAGUGUAGCUACAAGGUGCAAUGAUCCUCAGCUGACCGACUUUGUUGAGAGUGAAUUCCUUCAGGAGCAGGUUGACGCCAUCAAGAAGAUCUCUGAGUAUGUGUCGCAGCUGAGAAGAGUCGGCAAAGGCCACGGAGUGUGGCACUUCGACCAGAUGCUGCUUGAGGAGGCAGCUUGAAGGACACGGACACGACGACUACGGGCAAUGGAGGAUGAUGACAUCUUGUUUCUAACUCCGGCGGCCGCGUCCUCCAGGUGCCCACGUCGACUCGGAGGCGGCGCUGGGGAGAAUUUGCCCGCGGUCGCUGGGGCGCUGCCUGCGUGUUCCUCCUGGACGCUCUGCGCGCACGGGAACCCAGCUCGUCCGCCGCUGCGAGGAGGCGGCCAAGCUUGUGUGCCGUUGAUGGAUCCAGCCGCUUGCUUGGCCAAGAAGGGCUCAAGUGCGGUGGCUGCUUUCGGUGACUGCGAGCAUGGCCAUAGGUGUGCUCUGUUUCGGCGUUCAGUUUAUCUGAACUAUGGCAAAUGCUCAGUUCAGUUUAUCUAAACUAUGGCAAUGUCACUAACAUACAUUUGUUCAUCUUAUGAAUCUUUAUAUGUGUUUAUUUCAAGUUUAGUUUAUGCUCAGAUAGAUACAUUUGUAUAUAACUAGAAAAAUUGCCCAUGCGUUGCACCGGGAGAUAGGCUUAACAUGUGUUAUGUGACCCACAAGAGCAGCUUCACUGCCUAACAAGGAUAUAAGCCCCCAUCCUGAAGAAAACAUUGAAUGUAAGAAUGUCACAGUAGAAAAUUACUCAGAAAAUUAUAAAAAUAAGCCAGCCGAUCAGCAAUAGGAACAAAUCAAAACUCAUGAGAGGAAUAUAACAGCAGUAGUUUUCAGCGAGUGAAACAUGCUUCUAACCAUCAGGAUUUGAUUAGUUGCUACUAACUGGUGGCACAAUGAGUAUUCUUUUCGGGAUGCAGUAAGUUCGGUUUCCAACAUAACAACAGCUAGCUUGCAUGCAUGUUAUGUUUCACUGGGGAAAAAAUCGAUAGCAGGUCUCGUACUGAAAACACAAACAACUCACACUUUCAAUUGAGAUGGCUCUCUUCGCAAAAUAAAAAUAAGAUGGCUCUGGCUUAACUGUGGCAGCUUCAAGCACUCUCAUCAAUGUGCCUAUGUCAAACCGAUGUAGAUUUUCCAACAGGGAUUUAGUGACAGCAACAAAUGAUUCACAGCCAGUAAAAAUGAAGAAGGGAAACAGAGGAUAACUGGAAACUCAAAAAAGAAGCAAGCA